UACGAAGGGGGCUAGCGUUGCUCGGAAUCACUGGGCGUAAAGGGCGCGUAGGCGGCGUUUUAAGUCGGGGAUGAAAGCCUGUGGCUCAACCACAGAAUUGCCUUCGAUACUGGGACGCUUGAGUGUGGUAGAGGUUGGUGGAACUGCGAGUGUAGAGGUGAAAUUCGUAGAUAUUCGCAAGAACACCGGUGGCGAAGGCGGCCAACUGGACCAUCACUGACGCUGAGGCGCGAAAGCGUGGGGAGCAAACAGG
rnacentral:rRNA from 1 species